CGGUAAUACGUAGGUGGCAAGCGUUAUCCGGGAUUUAUUGGGCGUAAAGCGAGCGCAGGCGGUUGCUUAGGUCUGAUGUGAAAGCCUUCGGCUUAACCGAAGAAGUGCAUCGGAAACCGGGCGACUUGAGUGCAGAAGAGGACAGUGGAACUCCAUGUGUAGCGGUGGAAUGCGUAGAUAUAUGGAAGAACACCAGUGGCGAAGGCGGCUGUCUGGUCUGCAACUGACGCUGAGGCUCGAAAGCAUGGGUAGCGAACAGGAUUAGAUACCCUGGUAGUCCAUGCCGUAAACGAUGAGUGCUAGGUGUUGGAGGGUUUCCGCCCUUCAGUGCCGGAGCUAACGCAUUAAGCACUCCGCCUGGGGAGUACGACCGCAAGGUUGAAACUCAAAGGAAUUGACGGGGGCCCGCACAAGCGGUGGAGCAUGUGGUUUAAUUCGAAGCUACGCGAAGAACCUUACCAGGUCUUGACAUCUUGCGCUAACCUUAGAGAUAAGGCGUUCCCUUCGGGGACGCAAUGACAGGUGGUGCAUGGUCGUCGUCAGCUCGUGUCGUGAGAUGUUGGGUUAAGUCCCGCAACGAGCGCAACCCUUGUUACUAGUUGCCAGCAUUAAGUUGGGCACUCUAGUGAGACUGCCGGUGACAAACCGGAGGAAGGUGGGGACGACGUCAGAUCAUCAUGCCCCUUAUGACCUGGGCUACACACGUGCUACAAUGGACGGUACAACGAGUCGCAAGCUCGCGAGAGUAAGCUAAUCUCUUAAAGCCGUUCUCAGUUCGGACUGUAGGCUGCAACUCGCCUACACGAAGUCGGAAUCGCUAGUAAUCGCGGAUCAGCAUGCCGCGGUGAAUACGUUCCCGGGCCUUGUACACACCGCCCGUCACACCAUGGGAGUUUGUAACGCCCAAAGUCGGUGGCCUAACC
rnacentral:rRNA from 2 species